rnacentral:rRNA from 1 species
ANCUUGCUUCUAUGACGUUACGGCGGACGGGUGAGUACACGUGGGCACCUGCCUGUAAGACUGGGAUAACUUCGGGAAACCGAAGCUAAUACCGGAUAGGAUCUUCUCCUUCAUGGGAGAUGAUUGAAAGAUGGUUUCGGCUAUCACUUACAGAUGGGCCCGCGGUGCAUUAGCUAGUUGGUGAGGUAACGGCUCACCAAGGCAACGAUGCAUAGCCGACCUGAGAGGGUGAUCGGCCACACUGGGACUGAGACACGGCCCAGACUCCUACGGGAGGCAGCAGUAGGGAAUCUUCCGCAAUGGACGAAAGUCUGACGGAGCAACGCCGCGUGAGUGAUGAAGGCUUUCGGGUCGUAAAACUCUGUUGUUAGGGAAGAACAAGUACAAGAGUAACUGCUNGUACCUUGACGGUACCUAACCAGAAAGCCACGGCUAACUACGUGCCAGCAGCCGCGGUAAUACGUAAGUGGGNAANCGUUU